UUCACUAACCCUGGCCCUAAGCACCUUGUAUGGAUAGCUAUAGGUAUCAUUAGCUUCUCUAUUGACGGUUCCUUCUCAUUUCUCUCUUCUUUCGAUUGUUUCUUUAAAAACAAUAUUCCUAAACUAUUUUUGUCUGCAAUUCAUUUAUUGUUUAGAAUUUAGAAGGGUUUGAGGAAGCAGCAAGCAAUGGUCCCAAAAGGUAUUUGGAUUUGGAUUUUAGCUUUUACUAAUUUUGAAUCACUUUCGCUCUCACUAAAUAUGAGUUAAGUUAACUUUAGUUUCAUUGGACAUAAUAUUGUAGAAGAGAGAAAAAUUGAAAAUAUAGUAAUAAAAUAGUAGUAAAAGAAAUGGGAAAAGGGAAAGGGGGAAGUAGUAAUAGUACUCUGUUACUUGUUUACUUCUCUUUCAAUAUAUUCCCUAUCUUUGCCUUUACUUUUUGCAUUGUCUGCUUUUCUCUUCAGUCAUCGGCUUUUCUUCUUGUUGUGCAUGCUAGCCUUUGUUUUCUUUUAUUUUUGGCUUGGUAGGGUUUCUUUUACUCUGACUUCAUUAUAGUUCAACAGUGUUGUCUGUCUUUGGAUAUUUUUUUUCUUCGCAUGCAUUUAAGUCUAUAGAGCAGUAAUAAAAUGACAGGUAAUGGUUGAUAUUGUUGGUGGUUUGAACAGUGAAGGUUUUGUCAAGGGUGGAAUACUGAAAAACAACAGGAAUAUAGUCAAUGGCGUCAACUUCAUUCGCCAAGCAGACUUUUGUGCCUAUGAAGGAAGCAGUGUCUAGCUAUACUCCAUAUCCACCUCCUCUUGUAAUUUGGGGUGGCAGUACAUGGUCAGUACACUUUGACUGAUAUAUAUAUAUAAGAAAAUUGUAGACAUAUACAUGGCGUUUAAGAACAGUAGAGAUUUGCAUUUUGUUUGAGUUUGGAUUGUGAAGUAGAGAUGAUUGAGUGAGCUCAUAAUAAUCCAAAUUCCACAUGCUCUUCUCUUUGCUAUGUUCGGCUUUUUUAUUAUUUGAUCCCUUAUUAGGCCACUUUUUCGUAUCCAUGAAAGCUAAGUUCUCUCUUUCAAGGUUGGUUUUGGCACGUGGGUUUUAACGUUCGAGUUCUUCUAUGAAGGUUAGACGUGUUUUUCUUUUUCUUUUUUAAAAUCUGUUCUUUUGCAUGUUUAUAUACGUUUCUUAUCAACAGUUUAUUAGUUAAUGUAGUUUUUUCUCACUGUUUUCUAGCUAAUUUUUUUUUAGUUUGUAAUAACUUUAAUGAAAUGGAGUGACAUAUUUUCUUGAUUGAUUUCAUUCGAAUGUCGGCAUCCACAUAAUUACUAGAAAAUAUAAAUGUCAGUAAUGACUUGAGCUUCAUACUUAAGGGCUCCUGUUUCUUUUUUCUACUUGGAGAUGUAUGUUAGUAAAUUUAUUCACUAUGCUUGUUUUAAUAUUUUUGGAGCUUUUGGUUGUAUUUGCAUUUCAAGAUUAUAGAACUUAUGAUUUUUGGCUGAUGACCUUAGAAUGAACAAGCUUUCUUUCUUUUCGAUCUCAAAAUGUUGAAAAAUUGCCAUGAUAAUUUUUUCCAUCCAUAUAAAAUCCCUAUGUUUGCAUUCAGGACCCUCUGAAGUAACUUUCAACUUCAGAGCUGUUUUUAUGCUGUACUUUUCUCUUUGAAAAGUGUUAGUCUUGAAAUGAUCCUUGUAUGGCAGUGUCUUAGAUUCUUAUGAUUGUUGCUGACUUCCUAAACUCAAAUU